UGGGGAAUCGUUCCGCAAUGGACGAAAGUCUGAUGGAGCAACGCCGCGUGUAUGACGAAGGCCUCGGUUGUAAAGUACUGUCUUUGGGGACGAACGGUAUCUAUGUAAAUAAUGCAGAUACAUGACGGUACCCAAGGAGGAAGCCCCGGCUAACUACGUGCCAGCAGCCGCGGUAAUACGUAGGGGGCGAGCGUUGUCCGGAAUCAUUGGGCGUAAAGGGCGCGUAGGCGGGUCAUUAAGUCUGGUGUGAAAGGCAGGGGCUCAACCCCUGGAAGGCACCGGAACUGGUUAUCUUGAGGACAGGAGAGGAAAGCGGAAUUCCACGUGUAGCGGUGAAAUGCGUAGAUAUGUGGAGGAACACCAGUGGCGAAGGCGGCUUUCUGGACUGUAACUGACGCUGAGGCGCGAAAGCGUGGGGAGCAAA
rnacentral:rRNA from 1 species